rnacentral:rRNA from 1 species
UGAGGAAUAUUGGUCAAUGGGCGGGAGCCUGAACCAGCCAAGUCGCGUGAGGGAAGACGGUCCUACGGAUUGUAAACCUCUUUUGCCGGGGAGCAACGGGCGCCACGUGUGGUGCUGUGAGCGUACCCGGAGAAAAAGCAUCGGCUAACUCCGUGCCAGCAGCCGCGGUAAUACGGAGGAUGCGAGCGUUAUCCGGAUUUAUUGGGUUUAAAGGGUGCGUAGGCGGCGCCCCAAGUCAGCGGUAAAAAUGCGGUGCUCAACGCCGUACAGCCGUUGAAACUGGGGGGCUCGAGUGCGCCAGGAGCAUGCGGAAUGCGCAGUGUAGCGGUGAAAUGCAUAGAUAUUGCGCAGAACUCCGAUCGCGAAGGCAGCAUGCUGUGGCGGGACUGACGCUGAGGCACGAAAGCGUGGGGAUCGAACAG